rnacentral:rRNA from 1 species
ACGGCUCAGUAACACGUGGAUAACCUGCCCUUGGGUCCGGCAUAACCCCGGGAAACUGGGGAUAAUUCCGGAUAACGCACAUAUGCUGGAAUGCUUUAUGCGUAAAAUGGAUUCGUCUGCCCAAGGAUGGGUCUGCGGCCUAUCAGGUAGUAGUGGGUGUAAUGUACCUACUAGCCAACAACGGGUACGGGUUGUGAGAGCAAGAGCCCGGAGAUGGAUUCUGAGACAUGAAUCCAGGCCCUACGGGGCGCAGCAGGCGCGAAAACUUUACAAUGCGGGAAACCGUGAUAAGGGGACACCGAGUGCCAGCAUCAUAUGCUGGCUGUCCAGGUGUGUAAAAUACACCUGUCAGCAAGGGCCGGGCAAGACCGGUGCCAGCCGCCGCGGUAACACCGGCGGCCCGAGUGGUGAUCGUGAUUAUUGGGUCUAAAGGGUCCGUAGCCGGUUUGGUCAGUCCUCCGGGAAAUCUGACGGCUUAACCGUUAGGCUUUCGGGGGAUACUGCCAGGCUUGGAACCGGGAGAGGUAAGAGGUACUACAGGGGUAGGAGUGAAAUCUUGUAAUCCCUGUGAGACCACCUGUGGCGAAGGCGUCUUACCAGAACGGGUUCGACGGUGAGGGACGAAAGCUGGGGGCACGAACCGGAUUAGAUACCCGGGUAGUCCCAGCCGUAAACGAUGCUCGCUAGGCGUCAGGCAUGGCGCGACCGUGUCUGGUGCCGCAGGGAAGCCGUGAAGCGAGCCACCUGGGAAGUAUCGGCCGCAAGGCUGAAACUUAAAGGAAUUGGCGGGGGAGCAC